rnacentral:rRNA from 1 species
AACGAACGCUGGCGGCAGGCCUAACACAUGCAAGUCGAGCGGGGGAGCAAUCCCUAGCGGCGGACGGGUUAGUAACGCGUGGGAACAUACCCUUUGGUACGGAAUAGCCUCGGGAAACUGAGAGUAAUACCGUAUGUGCCCUUCGGGGAAGAUUUAUCGCCAAAGGAUUGGCCCGCGUUGGAUUAGGUAGUUGGUGGGGUAAUGGCCUACCAAGCCUACGAUCCAUAGCUGGUUUGAGAGGAUGAUCAGCAACACUGGGACUGAGACACGGCCCAGACUCCUACGGGAGGCAGCAGUGGGGAAUCUUAGACAAUGGGCGCAAGCCUGAUCUAGCCAUGCCGCGUGAGCGAUGAAGGCCUUAGGUUGUAAAGCUCUUUCAGAUGGGAAGAUAAUGACGGUACCAUCAGAAGAAGCCCCGGCUAACUCCGUGCCAGCAGCCGCGGUAAU